CCUUUUUUUUUUUUUUUUUGAAGGCAGAGGCUCCACUUGUACUUGUAAUUAUUAUGUGAAUCUUCUUAUGACUUGAAAUUCAUGCUCGAACUCUGUAUAAACAAGGCAAGUUGUUUUUUUUUGCUUUCACUGUAAAAAUGCUGGCUUAUUUGAUAUAUUUUGGAGAAAAUAGUUUAGGGCUCGUCUUAACUCAAUUUUAUUUUAUUGGCAAUUUUCAUUCUCAAUCUUACACAAUGUUUCCUUCGCUCUUCAGUAAGAUUGGGCAUUUAAGGAGAAUAGGAGUGGGUAGGGUGCAAACCUUGCCGAAUUUUAGCUUCAAAGCGACAAUUGAAGCUCGAAUGCUAAUAUCUAACACACACUCUGCUGCUGUAGCAGCUUCGCCUUUGUUACAGUCGGUUCAUGGUGAUGGAAAUUCAAGGCAGAAUCCGAGGAGAAACCAAAUUGGUGACAAUGUCUCCAAGAAGGAUAAGAUCAAAUUUCUCAUUACCACACUUUUAGAUCUAAAUGACAGCAAGGAUUCUGUUUAUGGUGCUCUUGAUGCCUGGGUUGCAUGGGAGCAAAAAUUUCCUAUUGCGUCAAUUAAGCAGGUAUUGAUUGCUCUUGAGAAGGAACAGCAGUGGCAUAGAAUUGUUCAGGUUAUUAAAUGGAUGCUUAGCAAGGGGCAGGGAACUACAAUGGGAACUUAUGCGCAGUUUAUACGAGCAUUAGAUAUGGACCACAGAGCAAAAGAAGCACAUGAGUUUUGGUUGAAGAAAAUUGGCAGAGAUCUUCAUUCGGUGCCAUGGCAGCUAUGUAAUCGCAUGAUAUCUAUAUACUACAGAAACAACAUGCUAGAGAAUCUCAUAAAGCUUUUCAAAGGGCUGGAAGCUUUUGAUCGUCAACCUCCAGAAAAAUCCAUAGUGCAAAAAGUGGCAGAUUCAUAUGAGAUGCUAGGCUUACUUGAAGAAAAGGAAAGGGUAUUAGAGAAGUACAAUCAUAUCUUCGUUGAGGCAGGGAAAGGGCAGAACAAGAAGCUUAGGAAUGCUUCAUCCAAGAAAAAUAAGAAAUCAGGGAAGCCAAAAAAUGAAUCUGCUUCAGAUACGCUUGCUGAUGCUGUGGAUGACAAAAAGUUAAGUCAAAGUUUAUCAGAACAUUGCAGAUAACGUUGUCCCCUGAAUGUUUGUAAUUGCGUCCUUUACAUUGGAGAAACCCUUACAAGAUAAUUUUGGCCACUGGAACUGUUUGUUUAAUUCUUUGCUGCACCAAUGUGGAAUUAGAGGUUACUGUGGCAAGGAGGAUAAAUAUCAUUUUGUUUGUUCACUCAUCGUGUGGGAAGUGAAAACUACACUAAUAUUUUCCUUUACCAUGGUAGCCACAGUUGCACUGUGUUUUUUUCCUUUCUUUUAGGUUCGAUGUAGAGCUAGUAUUUGGUAUUGUGAUAGCUUUUGUAGUUAUGAUUUGAAAAAUAUUAUUUUAUAAAAAAUAUUUUUGGUUAA